UACGGAGGAGGCAAGCGUUAUCCGGAAUUAUUGGGCGUAAAGCGUCCGCAGGUGGCACCUCAAGUCUGCUGUCAAAGACCGGGGCUUAACCCCAGAAAGGCAGUGGAAACUGAAGUGCUAGAGUGCAGUAGGGGUAGAGGGAAUUCCCGGUGUAGCGGUGAAAUGCGUAGAGAUCGGGGAGAAUACCAGUGGCGAAGGCGUUCUGCUGGGCCGUUGCUGACACUGAGGCGCGACAGCGUGGGGAGCAAACAGG
rnacentral:rRNA from 1 species